GCAAUAGCGCAGCUGGUAGCGCGUCUGGUUUGGGACCAGGAUGUCGGGGGUUCAAAUCCCUCUUGC
rnacentral:tRNA from 1 species